rnacentral:lncRNA from 1 species
UUGGACUGUAAGAUGGAGAUGUUGGGCUAUAAGACGGAGAGGUAGGGCUGUAAGAAGGUGAAGUCGGGCUGUAAGAAGGAGAAGUUGGACUGUAAGAAGGUGAUGUUGGGCUGUAAGAAGGUGAUGUGGGGCUGUAAGAAGGAGAAGUGGGGCUGUAAGCAGGAGAAGUGGGGCUGUAAGCUGGAGAAGUGGGGCUGUAAGCUGGAGAAGUGGGGCUAUAGCUUGGAGAAGUAGGACUGUAACUCGGAGAAGUUGGGCUGUAGGUAGGAGAAGUAGGCGAAUACGAUGGGCUGGUGGGAGAAUAUGCAGGGCUUGUUGGGCUAUAACCUGGAGAACUAGGGCUAUACGUUGGAGAAGUUGGGCUAUAACCAGGUGAAGUAGGGCUAUAGCCAGGUGAAGUAGGGCUAUAGCCAGGCGAUGAAGGGCUGUAUCCAGGAGAAGACGGGCUGUACCCUGGAGAUGAAGUAGGAGAAAAGGCCAUUCCACCAACAU